UGAGGCCAUGUUUGUAAGACUCCUAUAAGAGACAGAUUGCAAACCAGCCCGGGGUUGGUCAUUUGGCACAGCCUUUGACGCAGGCCAACCCUUUGCUAGCAAUUUUUUUGUUUUGUUUUGUUUUACCACUUCUACAUCUCUGUGUGUCAUUUACCAGUUCCUUCCACAACAUGAGCUCUUCAACUCCUGCCUGUGGAUUCUGCACCCUGCCCUCCUACCAACUCCAAGCCUGCUUUGUAUUUUGUUUCCCUUUGGCACCAGGGACUCAAGGUCCCAACCAACUGACCAAGCUGAUUGUGGAUGAGGCCAUUGCCCCAGAAGGAAGGAGCAGAAUUCUCUCCCCAUAAACAAUUCUCAGUGUCCAAGCCCACCAUUUCAGAUUCGGACAUAGAGGCCGUCGGUGACUGUGUGACUCAGCCUGGCAGACUUGGUGACCACCGCUCAGCUCACCGCGCAUCUCAUGUGGCCAGCGUCCUUCCCGUUCUUUCCCCAGCACUGAGUGGUUCAAACCCACAAUGGCCAUGCAGAGUUGCAGGUGGAGAAACUGAGUCCCAGGACAGCCCCCUGCCCAGCACAACAUGGGUCAUGUUGGUCAGGCCAACUCUGAGUUUUCACUAAAUGCUUACAAAGAACAUCUCUGUGGGCGGCUGUAUACACACACCUGUCAUGAUUUCGCCAGCAGAUUGUUUCUGUGGCUGCAGUCUCUGAGCCUAAGAUGUGCUUAAAGUCUUUCCAGGUCCAUUUUCCUAAAUUGUCCUCCAUGCUGUUCUCUAAUCUGGUGGACUGGUGGGGGAUAGAGGAGGAAACUGUCGUUUUUGUUUGUAUAAAUCCAAGCCACAGUCAACCAGUUUUCAGACAGCAGGGACCUCACACCAUGGCCCUCUCGAGUUUCUUGGGUUGGGCCAAGCUGGCUUCAGCUGCCACUGGGAGCAGUGUGGGUGUUUUGUGGAUCUGGGGGCUGCCUGCUCUCAAGUCUGCAAGUGGACCUUUCCCAGAAUCUGGGAGCUCCAGGACUUGUGCAAAGGACCGCCCCUCCAGACGUGUCUGUGGCUUCACUGGCAGCACAUCAGCCCAGCGUGGCUGCCGACGUAAGAUACAAACCCUGAUCAACGUGUGAGCAGACACUAAAUCUAUUUUCAUUCAAGCUCCAGCCUAGAGGCAUCUUUAAAUGUACAGUCAUGUUCAGUGCCUCUUUCUGUCCUUCCUCCUUUACUAGAAGCUUCUGAGUACAAUGUGUACUGCACUGAACAGAAUCAAUGCCCACAUUAGCAUUCUGUCAAAGGCUCCAGACCUCACUUGGGUGACCUUGCCUACCCCCCCACCCGGCACAGCACACAUGUGGUGGCGCCUUUGUUUGUCCUUCUCUGGGCCCGGGUGGGAGCCGUCUCCCAGAUAAUCUCCAGGUUAAUUAACCUUUAGGUGAGAAUGUGGGAUUCCUGCCUCGCACACUUCCUUUUCCUUCAUUAUGUUCAGCUCAAAAAGCAGCGAGGAGCUGCAAUAAAUGCAUUAAUUAGGAAAAUGAUUAAAUGCAGUUGCUUUAUUACCUUGGAAGUUAAUCUCUGCGAGAUGCCUGAAGAGUCCCCUUCAUGGGGGAGACUGCAAGAACCAGCCGACUGCAGAGCCCAGCCCUUCCUGUCUCGGCAGAGAUGAAGAAGGGUCGGUCCCACAGCUACUGCCACCAUGGCAAGGAUAGCACCAGAGGCAGCUCACUUCUUGAAGAAGGCACUGGGCACCCACGGCCUCUGCCACAAGCAGCCAGUGUCCACUGCCUCCCAGAGGGGCUGUCACGUGUGAUGUGAUGCUGGGACCCAGGUUGCACAUGUGGACUUGAUGUAAACGAUGAUAAGGCAGAGUGAUGGUCUCCAAAGAGAAAUACGAGAGGAACUGAGGAUCACCCUGUCGCACUCAUGACAGGAGAGAUGGGCAGAGCGGCUCUCCAGAGGGCUCCGCAGGCCCAGCCUCCUCCUGCUGCUCACCCCCUGGGGUGCUGAUCCAUAGACCUGGCCUUAGCUGGAGCCAGGCCCUCCCUUCAGGGGCACAGCUUGUCCCCCUCUCUGCUGUGAGCCACCCUCUGAGCUCCGGGGCUUCUCCCCUGUUCCUUCCCAAGCCCAGCUUGGGAUUGUCCAGCCCAGGAACCCUUCUUGCCCCACUUCGCCUUCCCUCUAUCCCACCACCCCAGGGUGCCCAUUGACCACGUCCUGAGGCGCUGACACCCACUCAUUCAACCGCACACCUGCCUGAGUCCUCAGGACUCCGGUGUGCUUCAGAGAUGCUGACG